GUACACUCCUACGGGAGGCAGCAGUGGGGAAUAUUGGACAAUGGGCGCAAGCCUGAUCCAGCCAUGCCGCGUGAGUGAUGAAGGCCCUAGGGUUGUAAAGCUCUUUUGUGCGGGAAGAUAAUGACGGUACCGCAAGAAUAAGCCCCGGCUAACUUCGUGCCAGCAGCCGCGGUAAUACGAAGGGGGCUAGCGUUGCUCGGAAUCACUGGGCGUAAAGGGUGCGUAGGCGGGUCUUUAAGUCAGGGGUGAAAUCCUGGAGCUCAACUCCAGAACUGCCUUUGAUACUGAAGAUCUUGAGUUCGGGAGAGGUGAGUGGAACUGCGAGUGUAGAGGUGAAAUUCGUAGAUAUUCGCAAGAACACCAGUGGCGAAGGCGGCUCACUGGCCCGAUACUGACGCUGAGGCACGAAAGCGUGGGGAGCAAACAGGAUUAGAAACCCUAGUAGUCCCAUGA
rnacentral:rRNA from 1 species